rnacentral:rRNA from 1 species
AUGGUGGUGGUGGCCGGAGCUGCUGCUGCUGCUGGUGGUCCUCCCAAGACCAAGAUGGCCGGAGGGGAGAAGCUGAUCAUCCGGUCGGACAAGGUCCGGCUCAUUGACAUCCUGUCAAUGCUGCUCCUCCGGCGGCCCCUCACCAGCUACUCCUUCGUCGAAGCCAGCGACCAGACGACGCUCGACGUCGGCGACGAGUCAGGCGGCAUCAUCGUCCCGCUCACCGAGGUCAUCCUCAAGUUCCUCGCCGCCGCAUACUGGCCGGCAAAGGUGAUCAGCGUCGCCCUCGAGUUCCUCCUCAACUUCGUGGCGCUCAACGGCGGCAUGCUUGGCCUUGGCAUCAUAUGGAACAUCUUCAGAUGCAAGCUUGUGAUACCGCUGGACCGGGAGGCACCCGACUUCCGGACGAUAAUCGGGAUGAUCGACGGGAGGACGGAGCUGAAGCCAGCCACGCUAGAGGUGACCGGCGGUGGCAACAUGCGGCAGCUGCAGGUGCACGACACGGUGGUCUUUGGCGAAGCCGAAGACCUGGAGAGCGGCGGGUGCACCGUGGCGGCACUCCUCGUUCAGCAGCAGUACCUCGUCCCUGAGGUCACCGUCAUGGCGGCUAAGAUCGCAUACGAGAACCAUGCAUAUAUUGAGAACGUGGUCAACAACGUCUGGAAGUUCAAUUUCGUGGGGUUCUACAACGGUUGGAACAAUGCAGAGUUCCUGCAUCAGGACACCACGCAGGCGUUCGUGAUGACGGACAGGGCCAAGGACGCGAGCGCGGUGGUGCUGGCUUUCCGGGGCACAGAGCCGUUCAACACCAAGGACUGGUCGACGGACGUGGAGCUGUCGUGGCUGGGCUUGGGCGCCAUGGGCAACGUCCACCUCGGCUUCCUCAAGGCGCUCGGGCUCCAGGAGGUGAAUGAGGAGAAAGCCGAGCGCGCCUUCCCCCGCAAGGACAAGGGCACCGCCCCCAAGGGCAAGUUCUUCGCCUACUACCAGCUCCGCGAGGUGGUCCGGGAGCAGCUCAAGAAGCACCCCGCCGCGCGGCUCAUCGUGACGGGGCACAGCCUCGGCGGCGCGCUGGCCGCCAUCUUCCCGGCGCUCCUGGCGCUGCACGGGGAGAAGGACCUCCUAGGCAGGCUGGGCGACGUGCUGACCUACGGGCAGCCGCGCGUCGGCGACAGUAACUUCGUGGACUUCCUAAGCGCCGCAACCAAGGCGGCGCGCUACGACCGCGUGGUGUACCGGUACGACAUCGUGCCCCGGGUGCCGUUCACGGCGCCCGUGGCCAAGUACAGCCACGGCGGGACCUGCGUGUACUACAACGGAUGGUACGACGGCAAGGAACUCGCCGGCGAUGAGCCCGACCCCAACUACUUCGACCCGCGGUACGUGCUGUCCAAGUAUGGCAACGCGGUGGGCGACCUGGUGAAGGGGGCGUUCCUCUGGGCCAGCGCCGGCCGCGACUACCGCGAGGGCCUAUGCUCCCUGUUAUACCGUUGCGGUGGCCUGAUCUUCCCCGGCUUCGCGUCGCACAGCCCACGCGAUUACGUCGAUGCCGUCCGCCUCGGCCGCAUCGCGCCUAAGCAAAUUUAA